UGGGGAAUAUUGCACAAUGGGCGAAAGCCUGAUGCAGCGACGCCGCGUGAGGGAUGACGGCCUUCGGGUUGUAAACCUCUUUCAGUAGGGAAGAAGCGAAAGUGACGGUACCUGCAGAAGAAGCGCCGGCUAACUACGUGCCAGCAGCCGCGGUAAUACGUAGGGCGCAAGCGUUAUCCGGAAUUAUUGGGCGUAAAGAGCUCGUAGGCGGUUUGUCGCGUCUGCCGUGAAAGUCCGGGGCUCAACUCCGGAUCUGCGGUGGGUACGGGCAGACUAGAGUGAUGUAGGGGAGACUGGAAUUCCUGGUGUAGCGGUGAAAUGCGCAGAUAUCAGGAGGAACACCGACGGCGAAGGCAGGUCUCUGGGCGAUUAACUGACGCUGAGGAGCGAAAGCAUGGGGAGCGAACAGGAUUAGAUACCUGGUAGUCCGAUGCCGUAAACGUUGGGCACUAGGUGUGGGGGACAUUCCACGUUUUCCGCGUCCGUAGCUAACGCUAA
rnacentral:rRNA from 1 species